CCUACGGGUGGCAGCAGUAGGGAAUAUUGCUCAAUGGGGGAAACCCUGAAGCAGCAACGCCGCGUGGAGGAUGAAGGUUUUCGGAUUGUAAACUCCUUUUGUUAGAGAAGAUAAUGACGGUAUCUAACGAAUAAGCACCGGCUAACUCCGUGCCAGCAGCCGCGGUAAUACGGAGGGUGCAAGCGUUACUCGGAGUCACUGGGCGUAAAGGGCGCGUAGGCGGGAUAGCAAGUCAGCUGUGAAAUCCUAUGGCUUAACCAUAGAACUGCAUUUGAAACUGUUAUUCUAGAGUAUGUGAGAGGUAGGUGGAAUGCGUGGUGUAGGGGUAAAAUCCGUAGAGAUCAAGAGGAAUACUGAUUGCGAAGGCGACCUGCUAGAACAUAACUGACGCUGAUGCGCGAAAGCGUGGGGAGCAAACAGGAUUAGAUGCCCCUGUAGUC
rnacentral:rRNA from 1 species